rnacentral:tRNA from 1 species
AGCUUCUUAGCGCAGUGGAAGCGCGCGGGGCUCAUACCGUUAUCAAAUGGCUUUGUCACCCCGAGGUCCUCGGAUCGAGACCGAGAGAAGCUA